UACGUAGGGUGCGAGCGUUAAUCGGAAUUACUGGGCGUAAAGCGUGCGCAGGCGGUUCUGCAAGUCAGAUGUGAAAUCCCCCGGGCUUAACCUGGGAACUGCGUUUGAAACUACGGAGCUAGAGUGCGGCAGAGGGGGGUGGAAUUCCGACGUGUAGCAGUGAAAUGCGUAGAUAUGUGGAGGAACACCGAUGGCGAAGGCAGCCCCCUGGGCCGACACUGACGCCUCAGGCACGAAAGCGUGGGGAGCAAACAGG
rnacentral:rRNA from 1 species